rnacentral:tRNA from 1 species
GCUAGCGUAGCUUAACCAAAGCAUAACACUGAAGAUGUUAAGAUGGGCCCUAGAAAGCCCCGCGAGGC